UAUUUGUGUGUUGGAAUUAAAAAUUAUUUACUUCCUGAAAUGUAUUUUAAUUAUAAUAUUAUAUCCAUGUUAAUAUUAAUUACUAUUUUGUAUUGGCCUUGAAGAAAACGAUUAUAAGGCGACAUUAAUUUGUUUCUGUUACACUUCAAUUCAAGUUGUGGCAAAUUUCAAAAUGAAGGUACUUCUGUAUAUCACAGUUUUUUCGCUAAUUGCGUUGUCUAUCGCUGCACCACCAGGAUCCCCCCUUCUAUUGGUAGUAAAGAGGUAAAUGAAGCUGUUAAGCCAAAAGAAGCAGAAGCUAAUGCAGCAGCAGAAGCUAAUGCGGCAAACGAUGCAAAUGCAGCAAACGAAGCGAAUGCGGUAAACGAAGCAAAUGCAGCCAACGAAGCAAAUGCGGCUGAUCCGGAA